rnacentral:rRNA from 1 species
UAAGUCUGGGGAUCUGGCUUAUGGAGGGGGAUAACCAUUGGAAACGGUGGCUAAUACCGCAUGAUGUCGCAAGACCAAAGUGGGGGACUUUAGGGCCUCACGCCAUAAGAUGAACCCAGAUGAGAUUAGCUAGUAGGUGCGGUAAUGGCGUACCUAGGCGACGAUCUCUAGCUGGUCUGAGAGGAUGACCAGCCACACUGGAACUGAGAGACGGUCCAGACUCCUACGGGAGGCAGCAGUGGGGAAUAUUGCACAAUGGGCGGAAGCCUGAUGCAGCCAUGCCGCGUGUGUGAAGAAGGCCUUAGGGUUGUAAAGCACUUUCAGCGGGGAGGAAGGCGGUAAGAGUAAUAUGCUUAUCGAUUGACGUUACCCGCAAAAGAAGCACCGGCUAACUCCGUGCCAGCAGCCGCGGUAAUACGGAGGGUGCGAGCGUUAAUCGGAAUAACUGGGCGUAAAGGGCAUGUAGGCGGUAAGUUAAGUCAGAUGUGAAAUCCCCGAGCUUAACUUGGGAACGGCAUUUGAGACUGGCUGGCUAGAGUUUUGUAGAGGGGGGGUAGAAUUCCAGGUGUAGCGGUGAAAUGCGUAGAGAUCUGGAGGAAUACCGGUUGCGAAGGCGGCCCCCUGGACAAGGACUGACGCUGAGGUGCGAAAGCGUGGGUAGCAAACAGGAUUAGAUACCCUGGUAGUCCACGCUGUAACGAUGUCGAUUUGGAGGUUGUGGCCUAGUGUUAUGGCGUCCGAAGCUAACGCGA